rnacentral:lncRNA from 1 species
CUUGUUUGGUUUGGUGUAUUGGCUAUGCCAAUACACCCCUAAUCGGUGGGCCCCACCUAAUACCUCUCUAAUCCGCCGUUUGGUUCAGCGUAUUGCUAAUACGCGUGUAUUCCGUUACUUUCCUAAUCGGUGAAAAGCACCGAUUUCUAUUCCCCCCUUCUGCCCAGAUUAGGUGACGCUUCAGCAAACCCUCCCUCUUUUACCCUCCCCCGAUCCCCUUUGUUUCUCUUCUGUUUUCCACCUUCAUCCGAUUUGCUUCCUUGUUUCAUUGCUUUUCUUUUCUGCCGAUUUGGUUCCAGUUUAUUUU